UCUCGCUUGGGUCUCUUAUUCGAUGUUCAGGGUUUGGAAAGUGACGUUGGUAGGGGACAAAACUAGUCUUGUUGAAAAGUAACUUUACUCCUCAUGUUAGAACUGCAACAAGUUUGGCUGCCAACCACUCGUUGUGAUUGAAGAUCUGCUCCCCCACUUUGUUAAAGAAUAUUUGAAAUUGCGCCUUCUUCAUGUAUGGUAGUGACCUUGGGUGCAGCGUUGAAUAGUGAGUUGGAAGAGGAGUAAGAUUUAUGUGCACGAUAGCGUUUUAUUGUUGCAAUUUUCGAGGGUAUUGAGCAUGGAAAGUUAGAGUAUCUGGUCUGUGGAAGGAUUUUGAGAUGCAUGCAUGCACAGCCAAGGUCCGACAGGAUUAUACAGGAUUCUCUUGCAAAUUAGUUUCAAACCCUAAAGUAGAAAUGUUUUUGAAUGUUGUUCUGGUAGCUUCGAUCUGGUGAGUUGGAUUCGACCGGUGCAAUCUGUAUUUGCUAUGCUUUCAAUUGGGUCUUUGUGUCCAGAUUUUACGGAAUCUGGAUCUAAUUCCACUUGAGUCAAGAAGAGAAGACAGUAGGGGAGAGAGGUCACAUGAUUUUUUGGUUGGAAGUUCUGGUCACCUCAGGCUUCGCGUCUUAGAAGCUUUAGUAGCUACUGCAUGUGAGUACUCACUAGUAUACACUUUUAAAUCUUAUCAUGCCCCUGUUGAGCUGGGGGGAAAGCCUCUCAACCAUCUGGCCUACCAUCCGGGUCUUUGCACCGGCGACAGAUUGGCGGAGAUAUCAAAAUCGUUGGACGCUGUGUGAGUUUCUCUGGAGAUAAUCGUCUAAGUUGCAGGGCGCCAGAUUCUUGUGCAGUUCCUUCUGUUCAUCGUAGAUUGUGGAGCUCAUAGUUAGUAGUUCAGCGAAACAUUUCGCAGAGUCUGCCAGUCAUUUGUCAUUGCGGUGGGUGAGUCGCUUCUAUUGAUGCAUUGCGGGCAAUAAUUGGGAGCCGUGCAGACUAAACGUUUGGGUGGAGAUGUGAAAGACGCAGCCAGAGGCGAUGACAAACUAUGCGGCUAUCUUAGUUCCUCUUGCUAGUGAGCUAGAACAUAAAGCAGCAAUGGCCAUCAAUAUUCCAACCUUUCUGGGUCAAUAGCUCAAUAUCUUCAAUUCAUCACAACUAUCGUAUUCGAUUCACCUCUCAGCUACCAAAGACACAUAUAACUCAGAAAGACAUGGUUACAUCACUUCAUGCUUUGGAACUUCGAGUUAUCAACUUCCGUCCACGAAGAUUGCAUCCCUA